rnacentral:rRNA from 1 species
GGUUAGACGAAGAACCUAGAUGGGGUAAUGUGUAAAAGUUAAUUAAUGUGAAAUAUAAAAAGUAUAUUAGUAAUCUUUUUCUUUGGGUGAAAUCUUUAUAAAAAGAAAUAUUUUCUUCAGUUAUUAAAAAGAAUUAAAAAAUAAGUAUCAAAAACCAGGAUUAGAUACCCUGCUAUUUCUUAAAAUAUUUUAGUGGGGUAGUAAAAGUUGUUCUUCAAACCCAAAGGUUUUGGCGGCAUUCUAACUAAAUAGAGGAGCUUGUUUUAUAAUCGAUAAUCCCCGUUGAAUCUUACCUCCGCUUGUUAAGCUUGUAUACCUCCGUUGUCAGAUUACUCUAAAAGGAUGUUUUCUAGAAAAAUAAUUUCUUUACUUCAGGUCAAGGUGCAGCCUAUGCGGGGGCAAUGAUGAGCUACAAUUUUUUAAAAAAGACGGAUCUUGGAUGUAAUUUCAGUUGAAGGUGGAUUUAUUAGUAAGUAAAUUUCAGAAAAGUUUACUGAACUUAGCAAUUGCAUGUGUACAUAUCGCCCGUCACUCUCCUUUUAAGAGGAGAUAAGUCGUAACAAA